rnacentral:rRNA from 1 species
ACGUACCUCUAGUGCACCAGUUGUCACGCCAGUGGCACCGCUGGGUAGCUAUGUGCGGAAUGGAGAAACGCUGAAAGCAUAUAAGCGUGAAACCAACCUCAAGAUAAGAUAUCCCACAACGUUAAGUUGGUAAGACUCCUUCGAGAUAAGGAGGUUGAUAGGCCAGAUGUGUACACCGUGUGAACGGUUCAGCUAACUGGUACUAAUAAGUCGAGGGCUUGAUAAC